UACAGAGGUCCCGAGCGUUGUUCGGAUUCAUUGGGCGUAAAGGGUGCGUAGGCGGCGGGGCAAGUCUGAUGUGAAAUCCCGGGGCUCAACCCCGGAACUGCAUUGGAUACUGCCUUGCUCGAGUACUGGAGAGGGAACUGGAAUUUACGGUGUAGCAGUGAAAUGCGUAGAGAUCGUAAGGAAGGCCAGUGGCGAAGGCGAGUUCCUGGACAGUAACUGACGCUGAGGCACGAAGGCCAGGGGAGCAAACGGG
rnacentral:rRNA from 1 species